AUGUACGAAAUAGACUUCAGCGAGCCACAAUGGCUUCUCAACUACUACCAUAUUAUCGGUUCAAUUUCGUUGCUUCUUAACUUGUUUGGCAUAUACUUGCUUCUAUUCAAAAGUAACCAACUUGACAGUUUCAAAUAUUAUCUUUUGGUUUUUCAGCUAGCUUGCACAUUGACAGACAUUUAUCUAACGUUUCUAAUGCAAGCAGUUACAUUAUUUCCUACUUUUGCGGGGUAUACAGUUGGCAUUUUAUCCACGUGGUUUGACGUUUCGUCAAGCACCUGCGUAGUGACAACCGCUUUCAUAGCAUUAAUCCAACUGGAAAGCCUUAUGGUAUGUUUCUACAAGAAACAUCAAGCCAUCGCAACGAUUCUCGAAAUACACGUGCUUCCCGACAUCAUUUUAUACACUUGUUACUUUCUUUGCGUAUUUUGUCCGCUAAUUUUUUGUGGUGUUGUGAAUUACUUGAAUUUGGAUAGAGAACAAAGCUUGGUGUUCAUCAAGCAGGUAUGGGCCCAAACAUUUUCCAAAUAUUGAAUCGAAAAAAGUAACUACCCAGAACACUACAUAAACUUUUCGAAACUUUCUCAUUUUGCACUUUAUGUGAGUUCUCCGGUUAUAUAUGUCGUAUUCGGUAUGGCAAUUUUUGGAGGAUUGCUCUUUUUUGUAUUAUUACUCAUGUUUACCAUUGAUAUAUUCUCUAUGAUGACUAAUUUAAAGCAAAAAAUUUCAAAAUCCACGUAUGAGAAGCAUCAAGACGCUCUUCGCAGCUUGAUGGUUCAGUUUGUGACAGCUAUGCUGUGUCUGGCGCCUCCAAUUUUUCUAACAUUGGUCUUAAUUUUUGAGGUUCCACAUGUGAAUGUUAUUGGUGAAAUUUUGAUUGCCUGGUUUGCGAGUCAUUCGUCUAUAAAUAUGAUAUCUCUUUUGAUAUUUUUCCCGCCUUACCGAAAAUUAUUUGUAACGUUUUUGAAAAGGAAAUCGGCAUGA